ACUACGAAUGUGACUAUGGAGUCUUUAGGCGUCCCCUUCGUCGUCCUCCUGCGGAACCGGCUCGGGAACGAUGUCCUCUUGAUCUGAAAUGAUUAAAUAAGGAAUGAACUACACUAGCCCAGUAAAGACAUCACGAUAUCUCACCGUCACGGAGGUAAAGGUGGGUAGAAAACACAAAAAGACUAAUGGAGCAUAAUUUACAACAAAUCCUUUUAUCGAUAAUAAAACCCUUACCAUUUACUUACCUCGGUGAAAUUCAUAAAACAAUAUACGAAAGCAAUAACAUCAUCAUCAUCAUGGAAACAUAUAUAUGAACUGUAUAGCAUAAUACCUAUCACACUUUUCGUAAUUCAAUCGUUACACAACAUAUCUUCCUAAUUCACCAGCCCACUAGUAUCCAUGGGGAUCCAUAGGGGUCCCGCUACCCGUUAAUCCUUAACACUUGAAAUCAAAUUCCAGGGCCGUCCCCAUACCCCAUCCGGUAUGGGCGCCAAACCAUAGACCUCAUUACCCCGUCCGGUAUGAGGGUGAAACGGGCCAUCCCCAUACCCCGUCCGGUAUGGGCGCCAAAACAUAUAAGAUCUCCAUACCCCGUCCGGUAUGGGAGACCACAAUCCCGGUAGGGUUCCCUACGGACCCGGUCCGUCCACCAUCUCCCAGGAUAUCUAGUCGGGCUGAACACAUUAUACAAUUUCCAUUCACAUAAUCUUUCAUUCUCCUUUUUCCUCAGUCAGCAUUAUCAAUCACAUACAAACAAGCAAACAAUAAUUUAUGCUAAACAGACAACAUACAGCAUCAAUAUCCCGGUCAUUUAAUCCAUAAUCAAUAAAACAGUAAAAUAUGCACACGAAACUAUAAAAUGAAAACAUCGAACCUCAUGCUGCAUUUAAAACUGUAAAACAGGCCAAAUAACAGUUAACCGACAAAUACACUAGACUUGGGCUCCAUUAGCGACCUUAGGUAAUUUCACACAUUCGUUGAUUCAUGAAAUACCGUUUUAUCA
rnacentral:lncRNA from 1 species